rnacentral:rRNA from 1 species
UACGUAGGGUGCGAGCGUUAAUCGGAAUUACUGGGCGUAAAGCGUGCGCAGGCGGUUUUGUAAGCCAGGUGUGAAAUCCCCGGGCUCAACCUGGGAAUGGCAUUUGGGACUGCAAGGCUGGAGUGCGGCAGAGGAGACUGGAAUUCCUGGUGUAGCAGUGAAAUGCGUAGAUAUUGGGAAGAACACCAGUGGCGAAGGCGGCUCACUGGCUCGUAACUGACGCUCAUGCACGACAGCGUGGGGAUCAAACAGG